rnacentral:rRNA from 1 species
UGCCAGCAGCCGCGGUUAAUACAGAGGGUGCAAGCGUUAAUCGGAAUUACUGGGCGUAAAGCGAACGUAGACGGUUGGAUAAGUCAGAUGUGAAAGCCCCGGGCUCAACCUGGGAAUGGCAUUUGAGACUGUUCAGCUAGGGUGCGGAAGAGGGAAGCGGAAUUUCCGGUGUAGCGGUGAAAUGCGUAGAUAUCGGAAGGAACACCAGUGGCGAAAGCGGCUUCCUGGUCCAGCACCGACGUUCAGGUUCGAAAGCAUGGGGAGCAAACAGGAUUAGAUACCCUGGUAGUCCAUGCCAUAAACGAUGAGGACUAGACGUUGAGAGGGUAAGCCUCGCAGUGUCGUAGCUAACGCGCUAAGUCCUCCGCCUGGGGAGUACGGCCGCAAGGUUGAAACUCAAAGGAAUUGACGGGGGCCCGCACAAGA